UAUUGUUUCAUCAAACUUUGCAGGUCUGCCAGGUACAUGCUGAACUGGUGCCUUUUGCUAUUUAGAAAUUUUAGAAUUUUUUAUUUUUUACGUUUCCAUGGCAAAAGAUGGACUUAUGUUCCAUACUCUUCUUUUUUACAAUUUCCAUGACAAGUUCCACCUCGGUUAAAAAAGGUUAGGGUUUGAUUUCAUUAUGUCAUAAAUUUUGCAACAGGGGCGGCGGAUAUAGCCACGUGAGUGGCAAACUCUUGUUUUAAUUACAUUCCUUUUCACAAUCAUUUAAAAAUAAAUUAUACCACAGUAACCAGUAGCAACUGAUUUAAAAAUGCUGAGUUAUAGAUCUCAUUAUUAACAGUCACAUGAUGAAACAAAUUAAUUAUAAUCCUGGUGAAAGUGACAAACAAUUACUGAUGAGUAUUAUAAAUAACUUUAACUGAUACAAUAUGAAUGUAGGCCUGUUCAUUAUAUAUGCAGGGAUAAUUCUAGGCUGCGGCCUUGUUCCUAAAUUUGAAAAAAGGCCAACAUUUUCAAAUUCAAUGGGGCAUUUUAACAUGCUGUAUGGGCAAGUGUGGGUGUCUCUGGAAUAUUUGAAAUUUUCACAUUCAUGUCAGAAAAUUCCUAGAAUGAACCCUGUACGGUACAUGUCUUAACACCAUAUAUUAUAAAAACCUCAAGUUGAUGAGGGGAUUCGUUUUUCCUCUUUGAUCUGUAACAAGAUGCUGUUACACGAACAACAUUAUCACCUGUAGGAACCACUGAAAAAAAAUGGGCAAGAUGGCUGAAAUAUUUAAACAGGAAAAACAAAUUUAAUAAUUGUAUCACAUUAAUGUGGCCGAUGUAGUUUUUGUAUAUAUUUGUUUUAAUUUCAUUUUAGGUUUUUACGUAUAUUUAUCAUAUAUAACUAGUUGUCCGUUUCAGUCAGCUAUAACAAAGUGUAUCUGACCUGUCUUACCUACUAACUGCCCCAUGGCCAGAAGCUUCAUUUGCUGAUUGGCCAAGCUAACACCUAUUGUUAAACUGCAUGCUUUGAUUACACUGCAUACUCUCUCAGCACAUAAACUGACAGAACUGCUCAGACCAGCAAAGUGUAAAGAGAGAAUAUUAAAUCAGGUGAGUUAAAUAGUUAUAAUCUCUAUCUUGUGUUGUAUUUAAAUAAUACAGUAUGUUCAAAGUGUUAUAUGAAGUAAACUAAAUGUAUGUAAUCUAACAUAAAUGUUGAUUUAUGUCUAAAUAUUUAAAUCUGCAUAGGAUAAGCUAAACAUCCAUACUUUAUCACUAAAAUGUAUUCUAUCACUUCAAUGAAAUAUGUGUGAAAGUGUUUUACCUCAAGAGUGUUUUAAUAAGCUUUGUAAUGUAGAGAUUUAGAUGUGAUACAAUGCAAAUCAUUGUAAAGAAAAUGUGUGUAUUAAUUUGUUCAAUAUAUUAAAUGUUAAAUAGUGUUUUAGUCUAUGUAUUGUUUAUUCAGAUAAUCUAUGGUGUUGCCAUAUAGGCAGUUGGGAUCCACACCCUUGUAUCACCCACAGGGGUGUAUGAUAUAUAGAUCCUUAUCACACUCGACGCAUCGCAAUAAAGACCUCAACCCCGUA